rnacentral:rRNA from 1 species
UGGGGAAUAUUGCACAAUGGGCGCAAGCCUGAUGCAGCCAUGCCGCGUGUAUGAAGAAGGCCUUCGGGUUGUAAAGUACUUUCAGCGGGGAGGAAGGCGAUAAGGUUAAUAACCUUGUCGAUUGACGUUACCCGCAGAAGAAGCACCGGCUAACUCCGUGCCAGCAGCCGCGGUAAUACGGAGGGUGCAAGCGUUAAUCGGAAUUACUGGGCGUAAAGCGCACGCAGGCGGUCUGUCAAGUCGGAUGUGAAAUCCCCGGGCUCAACCUGGGAACUGCAUUCGAAACUGGCAGGCUAGAGUCUUGUAGAGGGGGGUAGAAUUCCAGGUGUAGCGGUGAAAUGCGUAGAGAUCUGGAGGAAUACCGGUGGCGAAGGCGGCCCCCUGGACAAAGACUGACGCUGAGGUGCGAAAGCGUGGGGAGCAAACA